rnacentral:rRNA from 1 species
CCUUCGGUUGUAAACCUCUGUCACCGGGAAGAAACGCUUCAGGUUAAUACCCUUGAAGCCUGACUUAACCCGGAGAGGAAGCAGUGGCUAACUCUGUGC